rnacentral:rRNA from 1 species
UACGUAGGUGGCAAGCGUUGUCCGGAUUUACUGGGCGUAAAGGGAGCGUAGGCGGUUAUUUAAGUGGGAUGUGAAAUACUCGGGCUCAACUUGGGUGCUGCAUUCCAAACUGGAUAUCUAGAGUACAGGAGAGGAAAGUAGAAUUCCUAGUGUAGCGGUGAAAUGCGUAGAGAUUAGGAAGAACACCAGUGGCGAAGGCGACUUUCUGGACUGUAACUGACGCUGAGGCUCGAAAGCGUGGGGAGCAAACAGG